GAUGAACGCUAGCGGCAGGCUUAAUACAUGCCAGUCGAGGGGCAGCGCAGUGUAGCAAUACAUGGGCGGCGACCGGCAAACGGGUGCGGAACACGUACGCAACCUGCCUUUAAGUGGCGGAUAGCCCAGGGAAACUUGGAUCAAUCCCACGUAUAUUAUGAAGUGGCACCCCUUUAUCCUUAUUGCUCCGGCGCUUAAAGAUGGGCGUGCGACUGAUCAGGUAUUUGGCGGGGUAACGGCCCACCAAGCCUGCGAUCAGUAACUGGUGUGAGAGCACGACCAGUCACGCGGGCGCUGAGACACGGGCCCGUCUCCUACGGGAGGCAGCAGUAAGGAAUAUUGGUCAAUGGACGCAAGUCUGAACCAGCCAUGCCGCGUGGAGGAUGAAGGUCCUCUGGAUUGUAAACUUCUUUUAAUUGGGAAGAAACCCACUGUUUCUACGGUGGUUGACGGUACCAGAUGAAUAAGCACCGGCUAACUCCGUGCCAGCAGCCGCCGUAA
rnacentral:rRNA from 1 species